UGGAAGCCGGGUGUACCUAAAGUCGGUAACCGCAAAGAGCCGCCUAGGGUAAAAUCGGUAACUGGGGCU
rnacentral:rRNA from 1 species